GGAGGGGGGCGGCGGAGACGGCUCGUCUGUGUCCGAGUCGUCGUCGUCCUCGGGCACCUGAGGCUUGAGCAGCACCGAACGGCCCCGACUGCGGGGCCGGCGCGGCGAACACAUGAAAACGUCGGCAGCCAUGAGGAGAACCUGGUCCGGGGCAUCCCCCGGGAGCCGGGGCGACGUAAAGCGGAGAAGCACGGGGAACGGAGGGGGCCGCCGGCCCGACCCGGCCCGGCCCUCGCGCAGACUGCCCGGGAACGCGCGGCCUGAGGGGGAGGGCGCGGGCCUCCUCGUAACGUCACUGUCGUCUUGGCCAAUCGGAUGCUCGCCUCUGCCUCUUAAAGGAAAUCCAGUGAGAUGGUUCAGUAGGUAAAUAAAAGCACUUGCUGUUAAGUCUGACCUUCAUUCCAACCCGUGGGACCCACAAGAUAGAAGACUCCCAACAACUUAAUCUCUGACCACCCCAACCCCACUGUGGCAUCUGCGCUUCUCACGAUAAAUAAAGGUAAAAAUAAAUAAAUAAAAGA
rnacentral:lncRNA from 1 species